CGACUUCAGAUCAGACAUGGUGACCCGCCAAAUUUAAGCAUAUUACUAGGCAAAGGAAAAGAAACUAACCAGGAUUCCCUCAGUAAUGGUGAGUGAAGAGGGAAGACCCUAGUGCCAAUUCCCCAGCCGAGUGAUGGGUGCAGAAAAAUGUGGGGUACGGAAGUCCAUUUACCCAGUGCCACCCAGGGGGCCCAAGUCCUUGUGAUCAAGGUUCAGCCUGCAGAUGGUGUGAGGCCAGUGGCGGCCUCGGCAUGUCAGGAUCAGGUCUUCCUGGAGUCGGGUUGUUUGUGAAUGCAGCCCAGAGUGGGUGCUAAACUCCAUCUAAGGCUAAACACUGGCAUGAGGCAGAUAGCGGACAAGUACUGGAAAUUUGAAAAGAACUUUGAAGAGAGAGUUCAAGAGGGCGUGAAACCAUUCAGAGGUAAACAGGUGGGGUCCGCAUGGUCCACCCAGAGAUUCAACUCAGCGGCCACACCGGCCGCCCAGGGGAGGCGGCUCCCCCUCCCCCUCCAGGGGGGUGGGGGACCAUCCCUGGGUGUGCCAGUCGCCAUCAGGUGCACUUCCUCCAUGGCGGUGCACCACAACCAGCUCUGGGUUGGCCACAUGGAAGGUGGUUCCCCUCCCCGGAGGGAAAUGUUACAGCCCGCGGCAUCAGCCAUCGCUGUGCUCCAGGGUUGUGGGAGACUACUGCUGCAGCACCCAUCCCUGCCCUCACGGGGGGCUGGGAGACCCCGAUUCCUGGCAGGACUGUUGACUGGGCUGAACUACACUCAGUGUGGCCCAACCACAUACCGUCGCUGGGCUGGCAGGCUCACCUCUGGUGCCCAGGGUCCAUGCCAAUGUCAGUGACUCACCCAUCCUGUCUUGAUACAUGGACCAAGGAGUCUAACAGGUGCACGAGUCCGGGGGUGGGCAGGAGACCCCACAGUGCAAUGAAAGUGAAGGCCAGCAUGUGCCGGCUGAGGUGGGAUCCCCCCACCCUGCUCGGGGGGGUGGCCCAUCUCACCCGUCCUGUGUGGGAGGUGGAGCAUGAGCGCACCUGGUGGGACCCGAAAGAUGGUGAACUAUGCCUGGGCAAGGUGAAGCCAGAGGAAACUCUGGUGGAGGUCUGUAGUGGUCCUGAUGUGCAAAUCGGUCAUCUGACCUGGGUAUAGGGACGAAAGACUAAGCAAACCAUCUAGUAGCUGGUUCCCUCCGAAGUUUUCCUCAGGGUAGCUGGAGCACGGCGGAUACAGUUUUAUCUGGUAAAGAGAAUGAUUAGAGGUCUUGGGGCUGAAACAAUCUCAUCCUAUUCUCAAACUUUAACUGGGUAAGAAGCCCGACUCACUGGCUUGGAGCCAGGCAUGGAAUGCGAGCACCCAUUGGGCCACUUUUGGUAAGCAGAACUGCCACUGUGGGAUGAACUGAAUGCCGGGUUAAGGCACCCGAUGCUGACACUCAUCAAACUCCAGAAAAGGUGUUGGUUGAUACAAACAGCAGGACGGUGGGCAUGGAAGUCGGAAUCCGCUAAGGAGUGUAUAACAACUCACCUGCCGAAUCAACUAGCCCUGGAAAUGGAUGGCACUGGAGCAUCGGGCUCAUACCCAGCCAACACCAGUGCUGUGAGUCAAGGGUGCUAUUCCACAAUGAGUAGAAGGGCUGCUGCGGUGGCACUGAAGGCCAAGGCGAGGGCCAGGGUGAAGCCACCACGGGUGCAGAUCUUGGUAGUAGUAGCAAAUAUUCAAAUGAGAGCUUUGAAGGCUGAAGUGGAGAAGUGUUCUAUGUGAACAGCAGUUGAACAUGGGUCAGUCAGUCCUGAGAGAUAGGCAAGCGCCAUUCUGAAGGGAUGGGCAAUGGCCUCCAUCACCCUCAGCUGAUCGAAAGGGAGUCAGUUCAGAUCCCUGAAUCCAGAGUGGUGGAGAUGGGUGCCUCGAGGUGUCCAGUGCGGUGAUGCAAAUGAUCCAGGAGAAGCUGGUGGGGGCCCCUGGGAGAGUUCUCUUUUCUUUGUAAAAAGCAAGACACCCUGGAAUGGGUUUGCCCUGAGAGAGAGGCCCGUAGCCUAGAAAGUAUCACAGUUCUGGUGGCAUCAGGUGAGCUCUCGCCGGUCCUUGAAAUCCAAGGUAGAGGGUGUAAGUCUCGCACCGGGCCAUACCCAUAUUUGCAGGAGGUCUCCAAGGUGAACAGCCUCUAGCAUGUUAGAACAAUGUAGGUAAGGGAAGUCGGCAAGCCAGAUCUGUAACUUCGAGAUAAAGAUUGGUUCUAAGGGCUGGGUUGGUCAGGCCCGGGCGUGAAGCAGGGCUGGGCAUGCACCAUGGCUGGACAAGGCAUCACCCCCUCGCCACACUCCCCCUUCCUGGGGGCCAGGGGAAGGUGAUGGCGACUCUGGAUGUGCACCGGGCCCUUCCUGUGGAUUGCCCCAGCUGUGGCAGGGGCUGAUCCUGACUGGUGUCCCGCAUCGUCCAGCAGCUAGCAUCUGACUUUGAACUGGUGUAGACUGGGGGAAUCUGACUGUUUAAUUAAA